CUUGACUAUGUCUUAUAAAAUUCUGGAUAAAGCUUAUAAUGAAAACUUUAUAUCCAUAGGUCUCGACUAAAUCUUGUGCCAGCAGUCGCGGUAAGACAAGGGAGACGAGUGUUAUUCAUCUUUAACAGGUAUAUAGGGUACCUAGACGGUGUACAAAGGCUUGAAUAGUACCUGAUACACUAGAGUUUGAUAUGUGAGAGGAUAUGUCAGUAUGGUUGGUGGAGGGAUGAAAUCCUGUGAUACCAAUUAGACGGGUAACGGCGAAGGCAAACCUUUAUGUACAAGUACUUUUAUCUUUUAAGAUUGAGUUUAACCAAAAUUAUUUUGAAUAAUUUUGUACCAGACAUUUUAGAAAUAAAAUUAUUAGGUAUAAUCUUAAAAGUAAGUACUAUAACUGACGUUGAGGGACGAAGGCUCAGGGAGUGAAGAGGAUUAGAUACCCCCGUAGUCUGGGCAGACAAUGAUGAGUGCCAUAGGUUAGCGUUAUGCUGAACUAUAAAUGAAAGUGGAAGCACUCCACCUCAAGAGUAAUGUGGCAACGCAGGAACUGAAAUCAUUAGACCGUUUCUGAAACCAGUAGUGAAGUAUGUUGUUUAAUUCGAUGCUCCGCGAAAAACCUUACCACAAUUUGAAUGAACUAAUUAGUUUAUAGCUAGUUUACGUUUUUACGUGAAUUUAACUAUAUUUUUAGAACACAUGCGUUGCAUGGCUGUCUUCAGUUAAUGUCGUGAGAUUUGGUUAGGUCCAUUAAAUUAACGUAAACCCUUGUUUUAU
rnacentral:rRNA from 1 species